CAGCAUUUGGCGGCCAGGGGACAUAUUUGAUUUAUUCCAUUUAUUCGUUUGUCUAUCGCCAUUAGACACGGGCAGAGUUGAAAAUUUCCUCUUAAUUCGAUUUCGUUAUAGCGAUGGAUAUAAUGUCCGUGACGGGCUUAAAGAUGCUACUUGCAGAAACAUUACCAUCAACGUCAACAGAUGCCAAAUAAAAUGUUUGAAAUACUGCUGCUAAUAUGUGAGUACAUUUAAUUAACCGCAUUUGACAAAGGACAUUCAGCCAACAUCAAAGACAUGUCAUGGCUGUGGCUGGGGCAGGGCACAUCUCCCCACUUACAGUCCUAAUUAAACAGGACUCGACAUGCGGCAAAUUAUCAAUAAUGUACAGAACCUUGUGCUUGCUCCUGUCGCUCCUGUUGGCUUUUCGCUUGAUUAACCGAAAGCUGUGCAGCAAAUGUUGCUUUAAUUAACACUAAGUACUAAGCACUAUUGGACUCGAAUCAAUUCUAUAGUUUACCCUGCCAGUCGCUAAUUAGUAUAAUGUACUUGAUUUUUCAAAAGUUACUUUCUCGACAGAGUCUUCUUGGCCCUGUUCAGGACACAAAUCAACUUGUAUCCCAUUUAAUUUUAGAGUAAAUAAAACUUUUUGGAUUCAUGAAACUGAAAA